rnacentral:lncRNA from 1 species
CCAGAUUUAUUAUUGUGAUUUUUAAAGAAGGGACAUGAAUACCAGAUUUAUUAUUGUGAUUUUUAAAGAAGGGACAUGAAUGCCAGUAAUUAUUUGAUUUUAAGAAGGGACAUGAAUACCAGAUAUAUUAUUUUGAUUUUUUAAAGAAGGGACAUGAAUGCCAGAUUUAUUAUUGUGAUUUUAAAGAGGGACAUGAAUGCCAGAUUAAUAUUGUGAUUUUUAAAAAAGGACAUGAAUACCAGAUUUAUUAUUGUGAUUUUUAAAGAAGCGGACAUGAAUGCAGAUUUAUUAUUGUGAUUUUUAAAGAAGGGACAUGAUGCCAGAUUAAUUAUUGUGAUUUAAAAAGGGACAUGAAUCCAGAUUUAUUAUUGUGAUUUUUAAAGAAGGGACAUGAAUACCAGAUUAUUAUUGUGAUUUUUAAAGAAGGGACAUGAAUACCAGAUUAAUUAUUUUAUUUUAAAGGGGACAUGAAUACCAGAUUUAUUAUUGUGAUUUUUGAAAAAGGGACAUGAAUACCAGAUAAUUAUUUUGAUUUUUAAAGAAGGGACAUGAAUACCAGAUUUUAUUAUUGUGAUUUUUAAAGAAGGGACAUGAAUGCCAGAUUAAUUAUUGUGAUUUUUAAAGAAGGGACAUGAAUGCCAGAUUUAGUAUUGUGAUUUUUAAAGAAGGGACAUGAAUGCCAGAUUUAGUAUUGUGAUUUUUAAAGAAGGGACAUGAAUGCCAGAUUUAUUAUUGUGAUUUAAGAAAAUACUGCAUAGAUUUUAAGGAAUCAAUAUCACAAUGUACCUCCUUAUCAUUGGGAUUAUUACCCAUUUACAUUAUUAGCAUUAAUAACAAGAAUGUGUCCAAAGUACAGGGAUGCCCAACUAGCACUAUCAUUUUCCAUGUUCAGUGGACCUUGAAAUUGGGGUAAAAAAG